AUGUUGGUGAAUAAAAAUAUAGCUCCAAGUAAAUUACCGAUGGAAGUGGACGAAAAGAGGGGAUGCCUUCCGGGGCAUCCCCAAGCUUUGACUUUUUGGUGUCCUUGGAUUAUCUUGGGGGUGCCAUGGGCAUCCCCAAGCUUAGGCUCUUGCUACUCCUUGUUCCAUAAUCCAUCAAAGGAUUUCACCCAAAACUUGAAAACUUCACAACACAAAACUCAAAAUAGAAAACUCGUGAGCUCCGUUAGCGAAAGAAAACAAAGACCACUUCAAGGUACUGUAAUGAACUCAUUCUUUAUUUAUAUUGGUGUUAAACCUACUGUAUUCCAACUUCUCUAUGGAUUAUAA
rnacentral:rRNA from 1 species